ACUCAAAUGAAUAGACGGGGGCCCGCACAAGCGGUGGAGCAUGUGGUUUAAUUCGACGCAACGCGCAGAACCUUACCAGCCCUUGACAUGGCGGCUGCGGCCCGGGGAGACCUGGGCUUCCCUUCGGGGGGCCGUCACAGGUGCUGCAUGGCUGUCGUCAGCUCGUGUCGUGAGAUGUUGGGUUAAGUCCCGCAACGAGCGCAACCCUUAUCUCUAGUUGCCAGCGGGUUGGGCCGGGCACUCUAGAGAGACCGCCGGUGACAAGCCGGAGGAAGGUGGGGAUGACGUCAAGUCCUCAUGGCCCUUAUGGGCUGGGCUACACACGUGCUACAAUGGCGGUGACAGUGGGCAGCGAAGCAGCGAUGUGGAGCAAAUCCCCAAAAGCCGUCUCAGUUCGGAUCGCAGGCUGCAACUCGCCUGCGUGAAGGUGGAAUCGCUAGUAAUCGUGGAUCAGCACGCCACGGUGAAUACGUUCCCGGGCCUUGUACACACCGCCCGU
rnacentral:rRNA from 1 species